AGGCCCAGGCGACUGUUUAGCAAAAACACAGGUCUCUGCGAAGCCGCAAGGCGAAGUAUAGGGGCUGACACCUGCCCGGUGCUGGAAGGUUAAGAGGAGGGGUUAGCACGUUAGUGCGAAGCUCUGAAUUGAAGCCCCAGUAAACGGCGGCCGUAACUAUAACGGUCCUAAGGUAGCGAAAUUCCUUGUCGGGUAAGUUCCGACCCGCACGAAAGGUGUAACGAUCUGGGCACUGUCUCAACG
rnacentral:rRNA from 1 species